rnacentral:rRNA from 1 species
UCAAAUGACUUUUGAACUUAGUGGCGGACGGGUGAGUAACGCGUGAGGAACCUGCCUUUCAGAGGGGGACAACAGUUGGAAACGACUGCUAAUACCGCAUGACACAUAGGUGUCGCAUGGCACUUAUGUCAAAGAUUUAUCGCUGGAAGAUGGCCUCGCGUCUGAUUAGCUAGAUGGUGGGGUAACGGCCCACCAUGGCGACGAUCAGUAGCCGGACUGAGAGGUUGACCGGCCACAUUGGGACUGAGAUACGGCCCAGACUCC